AUGGCUGCGCUGCGCUGGAGCGGAGGCGGCGGAGCGGAGAGGAGAGAAGCGGGACCUUUGCUGCCAACUCCGUUUGGGUUUACGCCGCGGCUCCUAACCGAAUCGUCCCCAUUUUCAUUUUCGCCUACCGCGAUUUCCAGAAACAGGCAUAGAUCACAUUGCAUGCGGAUCAAUUUUUAUGCGUGUUUACAAUUACAGGUCUCGUUAGAGUGUGCAAAACCUCAUCUCUGAACACGUACUCAACUCUUGGUGGAAGUGCACACCGCAGGCAACGGUGCAGAGGCUGAAACCAAACAUCAGAGACCAAGGAUUUUCUUGCAAAUCAUAUUCAGUAUUCAAACGAGACGAAUCACAACGUUCCAACACCUGACAACAUUGCAGUGUGUAUGUACAUUUCCUUUUUUCCAAUAAAUAAAGAUCAUUUAUGUACACAAGGUGAGGUUGCAGAGUAGAGUUAGUUCCUGUACAAUGAGUGGCAUCUUCUACAGGAGGAAUAAAUUACAUGUCACGAUGCUGGUCCACAUUGACUGCGCGGCUGCAUUGACGUUC